rnacentral:sRNA from 12 species
ACAUCGGUUGAUUCGUCCCGAUGCAGAAGCGUAUACAGCAUAGUACAGAACGGAUUUAGCUUCAAAAAUCAGAAGUAAUUCCGAAUGGCGAAGC